rnacentral:rRNA from 1 species
UCGGAAUUGCUAGUAAUCGCGGAUCAGCAUGCCGCGGUGAAUACGUUCCCGGGCCUUGUACACACCGCCCGUCACACCAUGGGAGCCGGUAAUACCCGAAGUCAGUAGUCCAACCUCGUGAGGACGCUGCCGAAGGUAGGAUUGGCGACUGGGGUGAAGUCGUAACAAGGUAAC